GGGUGUAGAUAAAAGGCGGACGGACGGCGGACCGCGGACGGCGGACCGCGGACGGCGGACGGCGGUCCGCGGACGGCGGUCCGCGGACGGCGGACCGCGGACAGCGGACCGCGGACAGCGGACCGCGGAGCAUUUUAUAAACGCAUGAUUGCUACCGCAACUAAUUAUAAUACCCUAAAUUAAAGUAUACCAGCCAUAGAUCUGUGAAAUGAAUAUGUUUUCACCUGUUCGAAUAUGAAUUUUUUAAUCAGCAUUCAAAUGAUUCAUUACGUAUGUAUGAUGGCUAUACGGCGUCUUUCUCGGGAAACGUUUGGAAAUAUUGUAAAAAAGCGCCUUAGUUUUGGAGCUUCUGUUAGGCAGAGUUAAAUGACAUUUUCACUUGCUGACAUUUUCGUACUUUAAAUAGUGCUGACUUGUUGUUUUAUAAUGAAAAUAAUCCCCGUUUUAAUUAUAAACCUAAGAGGUUCACACGAAGAAAUGGCCGAUUUGCAUGCGACGAC